UUUUGGGUUCAUACCGUGCGGUGUCCUCAUCCAGUGACAGAAGGGGUAGCGAGGCACGCAUCGUGUUGUUGCCAUCAAGGGUAAAAAGAUGGGGUUUAUAUCUAUUGCAUGAAUUUAUCCCUCUACAUCAUGUCAUCUUGCUUAAGGCGUUACUCCGUUUGUUAUGAACUUAAUACACUAGAUGCAUGUUGGAUAGCGGUCGAUGUGUGGAGUAAUAGUAGUAGAUGCAGAAAGUAUCGGUCUACUUGUCUCGGACGUGAUGCCUAUAUGUAUGAUCAUUGCCUUAGAUAUCAUCAUGACUUUGCGCGGUUCUAUCAAUUGCUCGACAGUAAUUCGUUCACCCACCGUAAUACUUGCUAUCAUGAGAGAAGCCUCUAGUGAACACUAUGGCCCCCGGGUCUACUUCACAUCAUAUUUUUAGCUCUACACUUUUACGUUGUUGCACUUUCCACCUUCAGAUCUCACCUCGCAAUUAAUCGUGAAGGGAUUGACAACCCCUUUAUAGCACUGGGUGCAAGUUUGUUUGCUUUUGCGGAGGUACUUUGGAGACUUAUCUUGAUACUCCUACUGGAUUGAUACCUUGGUUCUCAAACGGAGGGAAAUACUUACUGCUACUAUGCUGCAUCACCCUUUCCUCUUCAAGGGAAAAACCAACGCAA
rnacentral:lncRNA from 1 species